rnacentral:rRNA from 1 species
GAUGAACGCUGGCGGCGUGCCUAAUACAUGCAAGUCGAGCGAACGGACGAGAAGCUUGCUUCUCUGAUGUUAGCGGCGGACGGGUGAGUAACACGUGGAUAACCUACCUAUAAGACUAGGAUAACUUCGGGAAACCGUAGCUAAUACCGGAUAAUAUUUUGAACCGCAUGGUUCAAAAGUGAAAGACGGCCUUGCUGUCACUUAUAGAUGGAUCCGCGCUGCAUUAGCUAGUUGGUAAGGUAACGGCUUACCAAGGCAACGAUGCAUAGCCGACCUGAGAGGGUGAUCGGCCACACUGGAACUGAGACACGGUCCAGACUCCUACGGGAGGCAGCAGUAGGGAAUCUUCCGCAAUGGGCGAAAGCCUGACGGAGCAACGCCGCGUGAGUGAUGAAGGUCUUCGGAUCGUAAAACUCUGUUAUUAGGGAAGAACAUAUGUGUAAGUAACUGUGCACAUCUUGACGGUACCUAAUCAGAAAGCCACGGCUAACUACGUG